AUCUUCGAUAAAUAAAAUAAGAGUAAUGCUGGGACAUAGGAACUCUUUUCUUAAAAAUAAAAUUAAAAUAUUUGUAACUAGAUGGAGAAGGUAUUUAUUAGCAAAGAAAUGAUAACACUCCAUUAUACAAAUACGGUUUUUAUCACGUUGUCUUUUGCAUCACAGAAAACGUGAUCAGGAUAUGAUGGUUUAGUUGUCAACUUGCUCAAUUUCAGACUAAACAUGCGGAUUUGUUAUAACCACCCUCAAUGCUUGUCGCAACCGACGACAAGCUACGACGUAGACUUUUCACGAAAAAGUAGAGAACACCUUUUUUGCGAUUUAUCCAUCUUGUUUACAUACACUAAAUGAUCCUAUAGGAAAGACCACUCAUACUGCUUCGUAAAUGAUUGGACGACAUUUUCAAAUCCUCACCUUUGUAUCUGCUGUGAACACAUGCAAUCAUAUAUUUAUUAAAAAAACUUUUUUUUGCCAAAAUGAUGUGGAUGCUUGAGCAUCUGAGCAUACAUGCAAGCUACGCCACUGAU
rnacentral:lncRNA from 1 species